UAGGGAGACCUAAUCCACUCAAACAUCGAAAGCAAACAGCGAAUAGGUGAAGAGAUGGUCUACUCUAGGUCGGUCGCAGAUAUUGUUAAAGCUUUCAAACUAUGAUUUGGUUCGAAUAUGGGCUAUUAGCUCAGGUGGUUAGAGCGCACCCCUGAUAAGGGUGAGGUCCCUGGUUCGAGUCCAGGAUGGCCCACCUGAAAGUAACUUGUAAUUAGUAAUGCGUAAUUCGGAAUUAAGAAUUAAGAAUUAAGAAUUACAAAUUAUUGUGAUGGGGGUUUAGCUCAGUUGGUAGAGCGCCUGCUUUGCAAGCAGGAUGUCAGCGGUUCGAGUCCGCUAACCUCCACCUGUAGCGAGAAGCUAAAGAACAGAUGGAAAAAAGUCAGCACCUAACAAAAAGUAGUUAGACUGCUGGGGAUAUUCCAGCCAGAACCUUGAAAACUGCAUAGAAACGCGAUAGAUAGCAGGCAGACACAGACAUCCAAUGGAUGUUGAGUGAAAGCAGGUGGAAACCAAUGAAUUGU
rnacentral:tRNA from 1 species